AUGUGCUUUCCAAAAAAUGAGGGUGGAAUGGGAUUUCGUGAUCUCCAUGCUUUCAACUUGGCAUUACUUGCAAAACAGUGUUGGAGGCUGAUUUCCAAACCUAAUACUUUAUGUGCAAGAGUUCUUCGUGCAAAAUAUUACCCUGAUGGCAAUAUCCUGAAGGCUGGAAAUAAGAGAGGCUCCUCAUUUACAUGGCAAUCUAUUGUUUCGGGUAUACAAACAUUCAUGAGAGGUCAUAUUUGGCGUGUCGGUAUAGGCUCAAACAUCAACAUUUGGACCGAUUGCUGGGUGCUGAACAGCCCAAACAUGAAGAUCCUAACCCCGAAAGGUACCUGCCUACUUUCUAGAAUGGAAAAAUUAAUCGACCCAUACUCAGGGGAGUGGGACGAAGCUCUUAUCAGAAGCAUUUUCUCUCCGGUAGAUGUUGACAGGAUCUUGCGGAUUCCUUUGAAUGUCCAGCUGAUGGAGGACUUUGUGGCAUGGAACUUCACGAAAUCAUAUACAUUUACAGUUCGGUCAGCAUAUUAUGUUGAGUGGCACCACAAACAGGACACACAAAUCAGAAGGUCCGAUGGGCAGGGCAGCUCAAUGAUUAAUCUAGUAUGGGAAACUCUCUCGAAAUUAAGAGUACCAUCAAAGGUUAAGAUUUUUGCUUGGAAGGUAUUGCAUGGCACAGUCGCGACUCGCUCUGUCCUAGCGAAUAGACACAUAAAGGCGUCCCCUAACUGCCCGCUAUGCCCGGACGGGGCAGAGGAUAUUCGACACUUCAUUUUCACUUGCCAAUGUGCUAAGUAUGGCGAGCAAUGGGUCUGA
rnacentral:rRNA from 1 species